rnacentral:snoRNA from 1 species
GUUGCGUGGUGUGUGUGGUGUGUGUGUGUGUGUGUGUAUGCUGUGUGUGUGUGUGUCACACACACACACACACACACACACACACACACACACACACACACACACACACACACACAUAAUAUUAAUAUAUAUAUAUAUAUAUAUAUAUAUAUAUAUAUAUAUAUAUAUAUAUAUAUAU